rnacentral:lncRNA from 1 species
GGCAGAUCUACCACCUGACUUCUGGAGAAAAGGAGCCAUGCCCAUGCCUUGAAACACACUUGGCUCUAUGGUCACUAGGAAAUUGAUAUCUUGGGAGGUGCUCUACGGGAAUGGUCAGGUUGGAGAGAGGGAGACUGACUGCCAAGAAGACGUUAAGAAUGACAGAGUGUGAGAAGCUGCGUAACGUCAGCCUUGGCACAGACAGCUACGCCAUCCGAGGCCAAAGUGUACCUCUAAGGGAGCCCCAGUGGUUGGACCAAGCUACCAGGUGGCAUCAGAGGACAGCGAGGGGGCUGAAGCCUGAGGAAUACCUCUUUCUUCCUGGCUGCCCAGAGCCCUGCCCUCAUGCUCACACCACAUUCCUGCAAGGAGACAUUGCCUUGGUCUGCUAGCCUCGACCCUCUCAGAGUUGGAAGGGCCUUUUAGAGUAAGUGACUUGCUGGACUCAGACCAGGGUGGCAGAAGUAGAAUCUAACCCAGAGCUUUGUGACGGCUACUUCCUCCACUGUGGCAAGCCAAGACCUCCAGCUCUGGGUGGCUGGCUUCAGAAUCAGCAUAGCGACGCUGUGAUCUCAUGCUGAUUAAGAGCAAGAGAUAACAGCAUAGGUGGGGC